rnacentral:lncRNA from 1 species
CGACACGGUUCUCAUUCCAUCCCAAAUUCAGGCAACUGACUUCAAACGGAGAGCGGGGUUUGCAGGGGCCUGGUGUGCAGACAAGAUCCGUGCUUCGGACUUCAGCUUUAGAAAGAAAAUAUUUUAGACAUCGUCAAGGAAACCUGGUGAAGGCACUGAGUUGGCCAACUGUGCCUGCGGGCAGCCUGGAGCAAAGGUUCUGAGAUGUGCAAAUCAGAACGCAAAUGGGUUUAUUUUUUUCUCCAGCCCGGCGUUGUUGCAGAGGAGGAGAGUGGCAUAGGAUGGCUCCAAAGAAAAGAGGGCUGCGUCAAAAAGAAAACCUCCUGCCAUGUCAGCUUGCCCAGACCUUUCUGUGAGACAGCCUUUCCCAGCUACGUUAAGGGCUGCUUCUUGUGGACUGGAAGUAUUGCCAAAGAAGUGCCUCAUAAAUCACCGCUGACUGCUGGGAUCGCUUUGGCCUCUCUUCCCCAUCGUCCUGUCUGCAGAAAUGGGCUGCACGUUUCCACGUGGAUUGGGUCUGAAUUGGUUGUCUGAACCCAGAGAUUAAAGAAACAGCAACCUCUUUCUCUCCUAUAACUCAUUUGUUUCAUAAAGGCUAAAAAUGGCAUCACCUAAUACAGUGCAAUAAUCUUCCCUUCCCUCCCCUCCCCUCCCCUCCCCUCCCC